rfam:Sarcophilus harrisii ctg7180002433423, whole genome shotgun sequence.
GAAGAUUCUGCCAAAGCCACACUGACUCAGAGAAGCAGAUGGCUGAGAAAGGAUACAACUCCAUGACUGUGACUUUUAUAACAGGGAUGAGGGUGGCUGGAGGAAGAGGGAGUGGGGUCUGUGUCCAUGAGGUAUAGGGCGAGCUGACCCCUAUGGAAGACGCUACAGGUACUCUCUGAGACCAGCUUCAAUGAGCCAGACCCAGCAUGGGAAACCUCACCCAACUCUAGCUCUUUCUUGAUUCUGUGGGGGAUGGUGCAUGGCCCUUCUUACUUGGUGGAGUGAUUUGUCCAGUAAAUUCCGAUAACGAUAAGACUGUGGUCUGCUAACUAGUUAGGCUACCCCAGUGGUCGGCGGCCUACCUUGUUAGAUGUACCUGUGCUACACUGACUGGCUCUGCGUGUGCUUACCCUAUGCUGCAGGCCGGCGGGGGAGCCCAUUGAACCCCAUUUGUGAUGGCGAUGGGGAUUACACUUAUUCUCCCUCAACAAGGAAUUCCCAGUAAAUGCGUGUCAUAAGCUUGCAUUCAUUAUGUCCCUGACCUUUGUACACACUGCCUGUUGCUAAAGCUUCUUCAGUACCUUUAAUGUGAUCUAUA